GCUGGUCGGGGGAGCACUGCCUCCCCGGACCCGGUGGCCGGACCACUCUGUUGAGGCCGUCCUCACGGUGCUGCGCGGGCUGUAGCGGCGGUGUGUCCCGCCCCGCAGUCUCCCGCGCCUCCGUGGCGCUCCGCUGGGAUUCGAACCCGGAUGUCUUUGAGGCUCCUACACUGCGCGCCCCCACUUCCGGGGCUGUGCUCGCACAAAGAAGCUGUCCAGCUAAGUUUCGUAAUGGAUUUCCAGAGCUGUGGAAGGGACUGCAUUGUAUGUGGUAUCCAUAUAUCAUACCUGACACUUGGACAAAGCACCAGACCUGCAGUCAGAGAAAAGCCCGACUUCAAAUCUGGCCUGCCACUAACAAAAAGGGGAGCUACCCACCUGCCAGAAGCACAGCAUCUGAGUGGCAAGUCAAUGGUGGCCAAAGGUGGCCAGCAGGAGAGGUGGCUGGCCAAGGAAGCUACAGAACCUCACAGAACAUCUACAACAUGCAGUGUUCUAAAACCUGGGAAUACAGACAUGACUAAGAGAACACUGCAGGAGCCUUUCCCUGUCUGUGUAGCCUGUUCACCUCAGCCCAAGAGCUCGGCCUCAGAUACAGAAUCCUUUCUUCAAACAAAUUCUUAUGAGGAACAUCAGUAUGGAGAAAGUACUGAAGAAAGGACUUUUUUGAUUAACAUGGUGCAGGGACAGAAUAACUGUUCUACCCUCGAGAAUUCCUUGUGGAUGCUGAAAGCACUAGAAUUCUGGAGUGCUCAUUUAGAAAACCCCUGUGGAUGCUAUUUUGGACUGGCACAGUAACAGAUCACUACAUCAUUGUGAGGUGUAGACACAGAAGGGAGUAGCUAAAAUGAAUGACAGUAGAGAUCCUUCUAUCAUAUUAAUUUACCCUUGAGCCAGAAAUAUGAAGUUCUGACAGUCGUCUGCUUCGAGUAUGUAAGUGAUUUCCAAUUUUAGAUUCUUCCUAUUAUGGAUGGUAGGAUAAUUUCAGGCCCAACAUAAGUCAUGUUUGUCUUCUAAGAUUCUGAAGGUAUUACUCAAUCCUUUAGGAAUAUGAAAAGUACUGUGGGUAUUGUCAUGAUUAGAAGGGUAAACACAGAUGUGUGUUGCCAGUGAAUUUUUGAGCAUGCAUAGUGUGAGAAUAUCAUCAAUGGAAUUCCAAGAACUUUAAAUGCUGUGGGAAACUGGCUUCCAAAAUGUUCUACAACAUCUGACAUGCAACUGUCCUUGUACUAAUCAUUUCAUUAAGAAUCAAAGUAUUCAUAAUGCUAGUUGGUUGUUGGAAAGUAUUUGUAGAAGGAAAUUUAAACUAUAGAGAAAUUGUGAUUCUAGAUUGAAAUUCUUAGUUUAAGAUAACCAUAAUAGAAUCCUAACAAUUACUGCUAAUCUUCAUGUAUAAUGCAGGAUGUCUUGUUGCAUCACUAGAAUCAUCCAAGAUGCUGUUGCAAAGGAUCAAACUUGCUCAGAGAGCUGAGGCAUCCCCAAAUCUGUAGGUGAAUUUCUUUUACCGAUAUUGGAUGUAUUUACAUUUUAAUUAUGGGAAUAGAAAUCUGUUUGGUAGGAUGUGAACAGGUGUCUCUCAAGAGAUAUCACAGUGGGAAAUGUUCAUGGAAUUUCCAUACUUGGUUUCAACCCAAUAGUACAUAUUUCAUAACAUUUCAGCUAAAUUAGCACAUCCAUUUUUGUGUUAUAUGGGGGUGGGAAAAAACUAACCUUUUCUAGCUCUUGAAAAUUAAUCAGACGUUUUUAGCUUUCGUUUUUGAAAUGAAAAAUGUUGCAAAUUUGAACUUCCACCUUGGCAGAAUUAAAACGCUUAUUCAAGCAUGAAGAAAAUCAAUGCCAAAUUAGGAAAAAAGGAAAUGAGAAAGACUCAAUUUCCAAGGUUUGAAAUGUAAACCUGUGCACACAAAUCCCAUCUUUUCAAUGUAAUCCCCGUAAUGUAAAGCUGAUGAUCUCUCGAGUGUCAUGGACUAUGAAUGAGGGAAUAUAACAAAGCAUGGCUGACAAAAGACUCACAGGAAGGGCCCCUGCAUGGUUGCUGUGCUUCUGGGGAAUCUCAGAAUCAUCACUGAUACCUCUAUGGUGGGCACCUAGAAGCUUGACUCUGAUGUUCAGGCCUCACAUUCCUUCCAGGGAAAUUAUCAGGGCAGACUUGGAGUCCGGAGCUGAGGUGUACACCUCAGGUUGCUAGCAGACUGCCAAAACAAUUUUUAGUUUAUCUUGGACACACAGCUAGACUACAUUUCCCAGCCUCUGCUGGAGUUAGGUGUGGCCAUGUGGAUGAGUACUGCCAAGGAGAUACAGUACUUCUAGGUCUGAUCAAUUGAGAAGGAAAUCCUUCUUUUCUCUUCUCCUUUCACAGCUUGGUGCUAAAAACUUUGUUGUCUUAGCAGCUCUGUGUUGAAGUAGGAGCCACAGAAUAGAAGGAGCCUGAGCCAGGAAUUAGUACUUGGAGAAAAUCCACUUGGUCAGGAAUAUAUGUUAGGCUUUUAUAUGUAUGAGAAGUGACUUUCUAUUGUGUGAAUCCAUUGAGAUUUUCAAUUUGCUAGUUUCAGCUGCUACCAUCACCUUAAAUGGUAUGACAAUUAUAAUCUCUAGAAAUCCGUAUAAAACUUCUCAAAAUAAAUAUGCAAUUUAACUAACAUGAUGCACUUGCUAGAUAAAGACAGUUUUCAAACAAGACUCUUGAUCCCCACAUCCCCUCUAUAUAGAAGGUCUCCCACCUCCCAUACGCUUUCACUAAGGACUACAGAGUGAAGAAAAUCUCAGACACAAAGGUAUCAUGUACAUGGAUUUUCUUGUGAAUAGGGUCUCCAAUUUAAUUCUAAGUUCUGCUUUUCUUUUUCUUUUUCUUUUUUUAAUGUUUUUAUUUUAUUUCUAGGAGAGAG